CUGGGGGUUUCUCCAUUGGUGCUGCUGCCGUGACGACGUGCUAGGAAGGCUGUGAGGAGCCUCGCUGGCCCCAGGAAGAGGUUUGGGGAGGAUAUUCCUAGCAGCUGCCUAAAGCAUUGGUUUCGGGGGUCCUUCCUGCUUCUCCUCUGCUCAGCACUGGCUGCCCAUAUGUGCUUUUCCUUGGUGGAAUGAGAAGACACCUCUGGACAAGCUGACGAGCUCCCAGACCCACUCCACAACUAAGGAUCUAAAGCAGCAAAGAAAGUUAGAAGGCUAAGAAGGCUAUCUACUAGAGAAACUUUCGAGGUUGCAAAAUGGUUCAACUGCCAGCACCUUUUGGGAAAGUCACUGAAUUAUAUACAAAGAGUUUAACACCGAAGAGUUUAAGACCUAAGCAUCAAGAUGAAACAAAAAAUAGAGAAAAAAGAAGACCAUAUGAAGACAUAGCAAUGGUGAGACACACCGAAAAAAUACCAUGCUGAGGAUGCAAGCAGAGAUUGGAGUAAUGUAUCAACACAGCAGGGAACACUAGGGGUUGCUGACAACUGCCACCAACUAGGAGCAGACAAGGAAGGGCUCUCCCUACUGCCUGCAUGGCCCUGCCAGCACCUGACUUCAGACUUCUGGCCUCUGGCCUUCUGAUGAAUUCUCUACAGUGAGAGAAUAAAGUUCUGUUAUUUUAAGCCA
rnacentral:lncRNA from 1 species